GUGCUCCCUUUGGCAGCACAUAUACUAAAAUUGGAACAAUACAUUGAUUAGCAUGGCCCCUGCGCAAUAAAAAAAAUAUAUAUCUAGAUACAGAUAUAGAUACAU
ensembl:snRNA U6 U6 spliceosomal RNA